CCGGGUCUGGCCUCCGAUGCCCGCCCAGCCCCGCUGCCCAGACCACCCAGUGAGGACCCCUGGGCCUGCGAGCCAGGGUAGCCUGUGAUGAGCCCCGGGAACAGCAGUUCAUUCCACACAAGGGAAGGGCAGCCUCAGUGGGGACCGGCCUCCUGCACAGAUGGCUCUUGGAGGAGUUGCACUGAACCGAAAAAGCCACCCGGUGCACCGCAGGGGAGAGACCUGGUUGCAGAAGCUUCUCAGUCCCGACCCUGCGCAGGUCACCUCGCGCUCAGGACGUCCCUCGAGGGCCCGAGGACCCCUGGCCAGGCUUGUGCCCUAGGAAUGAAAACUGCAGUGUGCCAGAGCUUCCUGCUGUUGGGGAUGUGCUAUGGGAAGCGACCCAGUUACCCUGUGGCAGCUCAGCCCAGCGUGGGGCCGCUCAGUGGCUGGACCUGUGUCGCCCUAGCUGUGAGAGGGGCCAGGCAGGUUCUCCAGGGACCUGGCAGCCUCUGUGCGUCUCCAGCCCCCUCAGGCUGUGGCCUGGGUGUGUGCAGAGGCAACGUGCCUACUUCUGGAGCCUCCACGUGACUGUCAUGCCUGUUCCCUCCUGGGAGGGGACACUGUAACACAGGCUGCUCAGGCUGGGCAGGCAAACCACUGGCUCUGUUUAGCUUUCCCUCAGCCUGGGCCUUCAUCAUCUCUACCCAGGCACUGACCUCUCCCUUCUGUAUUUUCCUUUUGUGGUGCUGGGGAGUGAUUCCAGGGCCUUCACAGUGAGCUGCAUCCCCAGCCCUUUUUAAAAUUUUUUGAGCACUUAGGAGGCUGAGGCAGGAGGCUUCCUGUGAGUUCAAGGCCAGCCUGGACUACAUAAUGAGACUCUCAAAAAAUCAAAAAUAAAUAAAAAUAAAAAUUUUAAAUUUUGAGACAGGGUCUUAUUAAAUUGCCUAAGGUGGGUUCAGACUUCCAGUCUCUUGCCUCAGACUCCUAGAGUUCUAGAAUUACAGGCAUGUGCCACCAUUUUUUUUUUUUGGCACUGGGGAUCAAACUCAGGACUUGUGCUUUUGAGGAAGGCAGGGUGCCACUGAGCUAAAUCCCGGCCCAGCAUCAUCUUUAGCUAAAGGUUUAUACUUCCACAGCAUCCUCACCUAUAUAGCCAGUGCCUCCGCGAGGCUAGAGACAGACCAUAUAAGCAGGGGAAUGAGGCAGGGCAGGAUUGGACAAGCCCCUGAAAUUAGGAGCACAAAACCUGUGAGGGUUUUGAAUCCUCCAAAGGUUGAAAACCAUCCUGCAGACAAU
rnacentral:lncRNA from 1 species